rnacentral:rRNA from 1 species
AAAUUGAAGAGUUUGAUCAUGGCUCAGAUUGAACGCUGGCGGCAGGCCUAACACAUGCAAGUCGAACGGUAACAGGAAGCAGCUUGCUGCUUUGCUGACGAGUGGCGGACGGGUGAGUAAUGUCUGGGAAACUGCCCGAUGGAGGGGGAUAACUACUGGAAACGGUAGCUAAUACCGCAUAACGUCGCAAGACCAAAGAGGGGGACCUUCGGGCCUCUUGCCAUCGGAUGUGCCCAGAUGGGAUUAGCUAGUAGGUGAGGUAACGGCUCACCUAGGCGACGAUCCCUAGCUGGUCUGAGAGGAUGACCAGCCACACUGGAACUGAGACACGGUCCAGACUCCUACGGGAGGCAGCAGUGGGGAAUAUUGCACAAUGGGCGCAAGCCUGAUGCAGCCAUGCCGCGUGUAUGAAGAAGGCCUUCGGGUUGU